rnacentral:tRNA from 1 species
GGAAUCUUAGCUCAGUUGGUUAGAGCAACCGGCUCAUAACCGGUCGGUCCUGGGUUCGAGUCCCAGAGUUUUCA